CACUUACUCUCCUUUGAAUUCAAGGAAGGAAUAUAUCCCUACUUCCGACUGUCUCUUUCAUCCUGCAUUACCAACCUUCUUUGGCAGCUCAUUUUUCUCCAAGAAAGAUGUCGCUGGAGCUGUUCUGGCAUCAUAUUCAUUCCUCAAGAAUCUACUAUUGGCUACUGGAAGAGACAGGAUUACCCUGACCUAAUGUGACAAAUCUUACAUACCUUACCCUAGGGACUGCAGAAGAACAACCCCUGGCAAAGGACACCUGCAUGAGUUCUUGGAAAAAAUAAAAAAUAAAACCAAGAGAAAAAGAGAGUCA
rnacentral:lncRNA from 1 species